rnacentral:tRNA from 1 species
GCGCACGUAGAUCGAGGUGAGAUCGGUGGGUUGGCGCCGCGCCUGGUCCUCGAGCCGCACGAUCACAUCGUACUGCUUGCC